rnacentral:lncRNA from 10 species
CAGAUGGGCCAGGCUGUGUGGAGCAAGAAAGUUUCAGUUCCUUUUUCUCCCACCUCAAGCCUAGUGUAUGGUAACAUUACACAGAGAGCCAUAAAAAAGUUCUUUCUUGUAGCACAUUUCAGGGUUUUUUCCAGUGACAUCAUGGGCCAUCUGGAUUUGAAGACAGCAGCCUCAUCCAGAACACACACACACGCACUCUCCCCUGCCAGGCCCUGCAGGUCUGCCCUCUAGGAUCAGGAGCACUAUAAACGUCCUGUAAAGCUGUCUUUUUAAUAGCCUCCUCAGAAGCAGCCUAAGGAAGAUGGUCUUUUCCUCCUGCAGUCCCAUGGAUGGCAGAUAAAGUGGAUUCUCAGCACAGAAGCCUCAGAGGAGAAGUGCCUUCUACAGUGUAGGUGUACAGCAAGCAUGGAAUGAAUAUUGCAAUUGGGUAGAAGCAGAGCUAAAGAAGGAAUAAGGCCUGGAGCUCACUCUGCCUGUGUCCGAGAACACCUUGAAACGUUCUCUACAUGGAUUUCACUCAUAUUACACAUCCUCCCUUUGGAGGGACAGCAUCGUGCCAUGAUAGGAUAUAAGAAAAGGGCAGAACGCAGAGCCCAGAUUGUUUUCCUUGGUAUGUAGCCCUGGGGCGAUAGAUCACCAGAGUUGAAGAGUGACCUGCUGAGAAAGUAUGGGAGAGCUUCUGGGUAAUGCACGAAAGAAACCCAGGAUGAGCAGAAGGGAACAAGCACUGAAGAAACCUACACUGUUAUCAUUUGUGUUAGGUAGCCCUUCUUGAUAUGGGUGGGAGUCCACCCAUCAAGGUGAUGAUCUAGAAGUAGAAGAAUCAUAGAAAAAUGGGAUGCUGAGCAUGCAACAACUUUAAAAUAGUUUAAUAUUUGCUCAUACCUCUUCCAUUGGCAAUACUUGGUAGCAACCUGAUUUUAUAGAAAUUUAUAUAUUCAUUUCUUCCUUAUUGAGGUCAAAUAAAUUACUCAUGUCUAAAACGUC